rnacentral:RNase_P_RNA from 1 species
CCAGAGGGUCGGGCGGCCGCGGCGGGGGAAACUCCGGCGAGGAAAGUCCGGGCUCCACGAAACAACGGUGCCGGUUAACUGCCGGCGGGGGCGACCCCAGGGACAGUGCAACAGAGAGCAGGUCGCGUCAGUCGCAAGACUUAAGGCUUCGGCCGCGCGAAGGUGAAAGGGUGCGGUAAGAGCGCACCGCGCCCCCGGCAACGGCGGGCGGCACGGUAAACCCCACCGGGAGCAAGACCGAAUAGGGACGGCGCGCUUAUCUGCAAGGGUAAGCAGGGUGUUUCGCCCCAGACCGUCCGGGUUGGUUGCUUGAGGGGCGGAGUAAUCCGCCUCCUAGAGGAAUGGCCGCCCAUCCGCCCGUAUGUCCCUCACGGGAAACAGCGGCGCGGUGGACAAAACCCGGCUUACAGACCCUCUGGCGCU